rnacentral:rRNA from 1 species
CAUCUAAGCACGAAACUUGCCCCGAGAUGAGUUCUCCCUGACCCUUUAAGGGUCCUGAAGGAACGUUGAAGACGACGACGUUGAUAGGCCGGGUGUGUAAGCGCAGCGAUGCGUUGAGCUAACCGGUACUAAUGAACCGUGAGGCUUAACCUUACAACGCCGAAGGUGUUU